CCCAAUUUAAAUUUCAAAAAUUAAAUCUUACUCCUAAAAAAUAAUAAUUAAAUUAGUGAUAUUCAUGAUGGACCAGACCAUAUCUCAUAUAGUGUCAUUGCUCCUCACAUAUACACCAUUGAGCUGUGGUGUACAAAGAGAAAUCCAUCAUGAAACUAUGCCAUUCUUUUUAGAUAAUUAACAAAUUUUUGAUUUGGUAUUAGAUCCUCGAU
rnacentral:lncRNA from 1 species